CCAAUAGCGUAUAUUAAAGUUGUUGCAGUUAAAAAGCUCGUAGUUGAAUUUCGGGGUCAGCAGGUUGGUCGUGCCAAUGGUAUGCACUGGCCUUGCUGAUUCCUCCCUCUUGUAGAACCGUAAUGCCAUUAAGUUGGUGUUGCGGGGAAACAGGACUGUUACUUUGAAAAAAUUAGAGUGUUUAAAGCAGGCUAACGCCUGAAUACAUUAGCAUGGAAUAAUGAAAUAGGACGAUCGAUCCUAUUUUGUUGGUUUCUAGGAUUGACGUAAUGAUUAAUAGGGAUAGUUGGGGGCAUUAGUAUUCAAUUGUCAGAGGUGAAAUUCUUGGAUUUAUUGAAGACUGACUACUGCGAAAGCAUUUGCCAAGGAUGUUUUCAUUAAUCAAGAACGAAAGUUAGGGGAUCGAAGACGAUCAGAUACCGUCGUAGUCUUAACCAUAAACUAUGCCGACUAGGGAUCGGAUGAUGUUAAUUUUUUAAUGACUCAUUCGGCGCCUUACG
rnacentral:rRNA from 1 species